CUCCUGGAAACGGGUGGUAAUGCCGGAUGCUCCAGUUGGCCGCAUGGUCCUCUGGGAAAGCUUUUGCGGUAUNGGGAUGGGGUCGCGUCCUAUCAGCUUGAUGGCGGGGUAACGGCCCACCAUGGCUUCGACGGGUAGCCGGCCUGAGAGGGCGACCGGCCACAUUGGGACUGAGAUACGGCCCAGACUCCUACGGGAGGCAGCAGUGGGGAAUAUUGCACAAUGGGCGCAAGCCUGAUGCAGCGACGCCGCGUGCGGGAUGACGGCCUUCGGGUUGUAAACCGCUUUUGACUGGGAGCAAGCCCUUCGGGGUGAGUGUACCUUUCGAAUAAGCACCGGCUAACUACGUGCCAGCAGCCGCGGUAAUACGUAGGGUGCAAGCGUUAUCCGGAAUUAUUGGGCGUAAAGGGCUCGUAGGCGGUUCGUCGCGUCCGGUGUGAAAGUCCAUCGCUUAACGGUGGAUCCGCGCCGGGUACGGGCGGGCUUGAGUGCGGUAGGGGAGACUGGAAUUCCCGGUGUAACGGUGGAAUGUGUAGAUAUC
rnacentral:rRNA from 1 species